ensembl:lncRNA
AUGAUCAGUAGUAAUGAUCAGUAGUAAUGAUCAGUAGAAACGUUCAGCAGAAAUCCAUAAUAGAAACGUCCAGUAGAAAUGUGCAGUAGAAAUGAAACUGGAGAUUGUUUGUUUGAGCUGAAAUUAAAAAAGGGGGAAAAGCAACUAUUGGUGGAAAAAACAGUAAGAAACUAAAUCUGAGCGAAUUAACAGCUGAAGCGUUAAAAACGUGUGCAUUCGUUUGUUUCGCACGUUAUUGUUAUCUCUGAAAAUAUGUUUGGGUUUUUGGAUGGUAAAAAUACAUUCCAUGUCAGGUUACGUACAGUUGUGGUCUGGUGGUUAGAUUUACACCAAUCGUCCUGUUCAAAAGUUUACACCCCCUAGCGCUUAAUGUAUCGUGUUGUCUUCUUGAGCAUCAGUGAAUGUGCAUCUUAUGUAAUAGUUGUGUACGAGUCCCUCAGUUGUCGUGAGUGUGAAAAGACGGAUCUCAACAUCAUAUAGAGACCGUUAAAAGGAAAGGGCUCAAAUAUGCAGAAGAUACUGGAAAAGCGAAGAAUGUGCAGGAGAGGGAGGAUUUUUCUGAAGAACAGUGGGCAGUUUAACUGCUCAGGA